rnacentral:rRNA from 1 species
GACGAACCGAGCGAACGUUAUUCGGAAUCACUGGGCUUAAAGGGCGCGUAGGCGGGCCGUCAAGUCAGGGGUGAAAGCCCCCAGCUCAACUGGGGAAGUGCCUCUGAUACUGGCGGUCUCGAGGGAGGUAGGGGCGUGCGGAACUUCCGGUGGAGCGGUGAAAUGCGUAGAUAUCGGAAGGAACACCGGUGGCGAAAGCGGCGCGCUGGACCUCUUCUGACGCUGAGGCGCGAAAGCCAGGGGAGCGAACGGGAUUAGAUACCCCGGUAGUCCUGGCCCUAAACGUUGGGCACUAGGUUGUGGGCUUACGUGGGCUCACAGCCGGAGCAAAAGUAUUAAGUGCCCCGCCUGGGGAGUAUGGUCGCAAGGCUGAA